rnacentral:rRNA from 1 species
GUGGGGAAUCUUGCGCAAUGGGCGAAAGCCUGACGCAGCCAUGCCGCGUGGAUGAUGAAGGUCUUAGGAUUGUAAAAUCCUUUCACCGGUGAAGAUAAUGACUGUAGCCGGAGAAGAAGCCCCGGCUAACUUCGUGCCAGCAGCCGCGGUAAUACGAAGGGGGCUAGCGUUGCUCGGAAUUACUGGGCGUAAAGGGAGCGUAGGCGGACAUUUAAGUCAGGGGUGAAAUCCCGAGGCUCAACCUCGGAACUGCCUUUGAUACUGGGUGUCUUGAGUGUGAGAGAGGUGAGUGGAACUCCGAGUGUAGAGGUGAAAUUCGUAGAUAUUCGGAAGAACACCAGUGGCGAAGGCGACUCACUGGCUCAUUACUGACGCUGAGGCUCGAAAGCGUGGGGAGCAAACAGGAUUAGAUACCCCGGUAGUCC